AAAAUCCUUUCGUAAUAUUUGCUCAGCUGUACAAUAGAUAUGUGAAUAAGGAAUCGGUGAGCGGGAAUUGUAGAGUAUUGAUUGAACCAACUUUGGGCUUUACGCGCGCUUCAGAAUAAGAACUUGACUUUACGGUAUAGGGAGAUACUUCAUUGCCAAUUAUCUCAUGGAAAAAAAUCCAUAAUUCAUAUUUCAUUUGUGUACAAGUGAAUCUCAAGUACUAGUGCACUAAUGAGAUGUUCACGUAAUAAGUAAUUUAUUCCGCGGUGUAGCAUGCAACAACAGUCAUCGACCCACCUCAGACGAGAAC